GGAGAUGUUGCCGAGCGGUCUAAGGCGCUAGGAGGACCCAUAACCGGGUCGUGGGUUCGUAUCCCACCUUCUCCG
rnacentral:tRNA from 1 species